rnacentral:lncRNA from 1 species
CUAGACAAAGAAUGAUAAUGGUUGUUGUAUCUUGGUAUAUGAUGAAGUUUGAUUAAUGUUAGAACAAGUGAGUGUUAGAGUUGUACUUAAGUUUGAGGUUGAUAAGCAUAAGAGUAAGAGAUAAGUCCACUUGUUGUACCUAGUAAAGCUUGAGACUGUCGAUCGUUUGAUACGAGAUAACAACUCUCUUUAGCCUUGUAUGCGCAAAGGGAGUGCUC